rnacentral:rRNA from 1 species
CUACGGGACGCUGCAGUGGGGAAUAUUGCACAAUGGAGGAAACUCUGAUGCAGCAACGCCGCGUGGAGGAUGACACUUUUCGGAGCGUAAACUCCUUUUAUAUAGGAAGAAGAUGACGGUACUAUAUGAAUAAGCGCCGGCUAACCCCGUGCCAGCAGCCGCGGUAAUACGGAGGGCGCAAGCGUUACUCGGAAUCACUGGGCGUAAAGAGCGUGUAGGCGGAUUAAGAAGUCAGAAGUGAAAUCCUAUAGCUUAACUAUAGAACUGCUUCUGAAACUCUUAAUCUAGAAUAUGGGAGAGGUAGAUGGAAUUUCUGGUGUAGGGGUAAAAUCCGUAGAGAUCAGAAGGAAUACCGAUUGCGAAGGCGAUCUACUAGAACAUUAUUGACGCUGAGACGCGAAAGCGUGGGGAGCAAACAGGAUUAGAUACCCUGGUAGUC